rnacentral:rRNA from 1 species
CCAGCGAGUGGCGGACGGGUGAGUAACACGUAGGUAACCUGCCCCAAAGCGGGGGAUAACAUUUGGAAACAGAUGCUAAUACCGCAUAACAAUUUGAAUCGCAUGAUUCAAAUUUAAAAGAUGGCUUCGGCUAUCACUUUGGGAUGGACCUGCGGCGCAUUAGCUUGUUGGUAGGGUAACGGCCUACCAAGGCUGUGAUGCGUAGCCGAGUUGAGAGACUGAUCGGCCACAAUGGAACUGAGACACGGUCCAUACUCCUACGGGAGGCAGCAGUAGGGAAUCUUCCACAAUGGGCGCAAGCCUGAUGGAGCAACACCGCGUGAGUGAAGAAGGGUUUCGGCUCGUAAAGCUCUGUUGUUAGAGAAGAACGUGCGUGAGAGCAACUGUUCACGCAGUGACGGUAUCUAACCAGAAAGUCACGGCUAACUACGUGCCAGCAGCCGCGGUAAUACGUAGGUGGCAAGCGUUAUCCGGAUUUAUUGGGCGUAAAGCGAGCGCAGGCGGUUUGAUAAGUCUGAUGUGAAAGCCUUUGGCUUAACCAAAGAAGUGCAUCGGAAACUGUCAGACUUGAGUGCAGAAGAGGACAGUGGAACUCCAUGUGUAGCGGUGGAAUGCGUAGAUAUAUGGAAGAACACCAGUGGCGAAGGCGGCUGUCUGGUCUGCAACUGACGCUGAGCUCGAAAGCAUGGGUAGCGAACAGGAUUAGAUACCCUGGUAGUCCAUGCCGUAAACGAUGAGUGCUAGGUGUUGGAGGGUUUCCGCCCUUCAGUGCCGCAGCUAACGCAUUAAGCACUCCGCCUGGGGAGUACGACCGCAAGGUUGAAACUCAAAGGAAUUGACGGGGGCCCGCACAAGCGGUGGAGCAUGUGGUUUAAUUCGAAGCUACGCGAAGAACCUUACCAGGUCUUGACAUCUUGCGCCAACCCUAGAGAUAGGGCGUUUCCUUCGGGAACGCAAUGACAGGUGGUGCAUGGUCGUCGUCAGCUCGUGUCGUGAGAUGUUGGGUUAAGUCCCGCAACGAGCGCAACCCUUGUUACUAGUUGCCA